rnacentral:rRNA from 1 species
UUAAAUUGAAGAGUUUGAUCAUGGCUCAGAUUGAACGCUGGCGGCAGGCCUAACACAUGCAAGUCGAACGGUAACAGGAAGAAGCU